rnacentral:rRNA from 1 species
GAUGAACGCUAGCGGCAGGCUUAAUACAUGCAAGUCGAGGGGCAGCAGGACUGUAGCAAUACAGUUGCUGGCGACCGGCAAACGGGUGCGGAACACGUACGCAACCUACCCAAAACUGGGGGAUAGCCCGGGGAAACCCGGAUUAAUACCUCGUAACCUUUUUAAGUGGCAUCACUUGAUAAGUAUAGCUCCGGCGGUUUUGGAUGGGCGUGCGCCUGAUUAGGUAGUUGGUGCGGGUAACGGCCCACCAAGCCUGCGAUCAGUAACUGGUGUGAGAGCACGACCAGUCACACGGGCACUGAGACACGGGCCCGACUCCUACGGGAGGCAGCAGUAAGGAAUAUUGAUCAAUGGACGCAAGUCUGAACCAGCCAUGCCGCGUGAAGGAUGAAGGUCCUCUGGAUUGUAAACUUCUUUUAUGGGGGACGAAACCCGGAUAUUCUUAUCCGAUUGACGGUACCUCAGGAAUAAGCACCGGCUAACUCCGUG